UGGCGUUGUUGUUGGAUUAACAAUGGUAGAGUCAACCAACUGAGUGAAAUGUAGAGGAGAGAAGAUUGUUCUGUCUUCUUCAUUCUUCAAAGACAUUGUCAUAUCAACAUGAAGAACAAGAAGGUAUAGAUAGCUACAAAAGAAUGAGCAUAGAAAUAGCUACAAAAGAAUGGUAAAAACAUCAUUACCCGAGAAGAACAAGAAGGAAUCAAAGCUUUCUUGGAUCACCAAGAACAGAAAGAACAUGAGAAAACUUGAGAAAGCAGGCAAUGGAGCAGUUGGAUACCAC